rnacentral:rRNA from 1 species
AGAGUUUGAUCCUGGCUCAGGAUGAACGCUAGCGGCAGGCUUAACACAUGCAAGUCGAGGGGUAUUAGUUUUCGGACUAAGAGACCGGCGCACGGGUGCGUAACGCGUAUGCAAUCUACCUUUUACAGAGGGAUAGCCCAGAGAAAUUUGGAUUAAUACCUCAUAGUAUAUAGACUCGGCAUCGAGAUUAUAUUAAAGUCACAACGGUAAAAGAUGAGCAUGCGUCCCAUUAGCUAGUUGGUAAGGUAACGGCUUACCAAGGCUACGAUGGGUAGGGGUCCUGAGAGGGAGAUCCCCCACACUGGUACUGAGACACGGACCAGACUCCUACGGGAGGCAGCAGUGAGGAAUAUUGGACAAUGGGCGCAAGCCUGAUCCAGCCAUGCCGCGUGCAGGAUGACGGUCCUAUGGAUUGUAAACUGCUUUUAUACGAGAAGAAACACUCCUUCGUGAAGGAGCUUGACGGUAUCGUAAGAAUAAGGAUCGGCUAACUCCGUGCCAGCAGCCGCGGUAAUACGGAGGAUCCAAGCGUUAUCCGGAAUCAUUGGGUUUAAAGGGUCCGUAGGCGGUUUAAUAAGUCAGUGGUGAAAGCCCAUCGCUCAACGGUGGAACGGCCAUUGAUACUGUUAGACUUGAAUUAUUAGGAAGUAACUAGAAUAUGUAGUGUAGCGGGNGAAAUGCUUNAGAGAUUACAUGGCAAUACC